AAACAUAUCUCAAUAAGAAAAAUAACUAACUUGUGGUGUACACAUGAUUUUAUCAGAUCAAGCAAUUCAGGUGGUAAGCAUAGUUGUUAAGCCAAAGUCCCAAAAUUGUACAUGAUUGAAUGUUGCUGUAUAGGCUAACCAGGACUUACAUAAAUCUACCCGGCGUAAAAUGAACCUUCAUCAAGCGCUAGAGAGGGAGAUAUCACCCCUACGCCGCAACCACGGCUCGUCAAGAUCAGACAUAACUAUAGAAGAAUAGGGCAACAACACAGAGUAAGUUUCCUCUGCACUUAUAUUUUUAAUAUACAACACUCACGAUGGAGUCUCCAAAUCGCAAUAAUGGAGCGUUACAGAUUUUGUUAGAUCUAACUUGAACAGUGGCGGCGACUCGUGGAUCCCUUCCAAACAGCAGGAAAUCAAAGAUCUCGGACCUGACAAGGUAUGAAUCCUGAUGAUGUAGCCCCAAAAUAGCCAGGUCUUACUUAAUCGUAAUGGAAGAAACUGGAAGAAGCUAAUUAUGGUGGCCCGUGCAUUGCAACGGGGUAUCAAAAUUACGGCCUUUAAAUCGAGCAAUUCAGAACAUGAUAACUACAAUGAUUAUUAAUAAUGUACAUCCCAUCUUGUUAAUUGAAAUCAAAUAAAACUGAUCGCAGAUUGCUCUUCAGAAUUAGAUGCAAAACCCAACAUUCAUGUUUACAUAAGAAUAGUGCAGAAAUGCGGAUUAAUAAUUCCCCUAUACAUAUCAUGUCAUGCUAAAUAACUGUAUACAUAUGCAGAUAUUGACCUACGAAUUUCACCAACAAAUCAUGAUAUAGUCUUACAUUUAACAAAAUGGUAAAAAAUAGAAUCAAUCAUAGCUAAUAGCAAUAUAAUAAAUUCUUGUGAAUGAUAGUUUGGCUAUACAUGGAAACCUAAGAUCAGAUUAACUCGUGACGGAAGAAGGCGUUGUAGCAACAUAAUAAUUAAAAUCCAUCGGAAGAAUAUUUCUGAAAUUACACACUAUGCACAAGCAUAUGGAAAAAGGAUCACUAAACAUCAUGAUCUAGUAAAAGUACAUGAGAGAAAAAACUGAAAAAAUAACAGUCAAUUAUUUUAUAGAACUUCCCUUUGUUCUUCAAACAAAUGGUAACAAUCAUGAUGCCAUAUUAGAGCUUAUUCAGGACAUCUUUUUUUACUAAAGGGAGUAGUAUGUUUCAGCAAAAGUGUCAAACUAUGUCUACACAUUUUACAUACAAUUAUCUCUGUCAUCUGGACCUACACUGCUCUGCACCUCAUUAAAAUCCUAUCCAUCAAAAUUUAUGCCAUUAACAAAAUCUAGGACUUGGGUGUUAACGGCUAAAAAGCAGUUUCGCUAAGUCCUCAGUGGUGUUGCACCAAUAAUAUGGUGGAGUGCUUGAAUCCGUCAUCAGCGUCAACUAUCAAAGUUAGACACUGGUCACCAGUCAUGCACUGCCUCCCAUUCAGAACAUAGUGAGGAUAAGCAGGCCAGACACGAAGUCUGCGGCAGUGGCCAUGAGGGCGACGAUCGGGUGCCCAUGGUGCAGCGCCGAGCUACAGAACACUCCCACGACCUUGCCGCAUCCAGCGGAGAGGGAGCACCGGUAGCAGCUUGUAGGGAUAGACGUGCUCGUGGCCGGGGAUCACCCGGGAAAGCGUUGGUUGGAGGUGCCUCCCGCUUCAGUUGCUUAUAGGAAGGAAUGUACAUGACAAACUUGCUACCGCUGAAGAAUCAUAUGAAUCAACCUAUGUGUUUUCAAGACGUAUGAAACACACGAAAAGACUGAGCCUUCACGUGAAGUUUGCAGGUUUGCAUCAACAAUAGAGAAGUAAGAGGAAUUAGAUUAAUAAGAGUACUAAACAGGGUGGCGGCCGCCAAGGAGCGAAUUGAUCAUCUCACCUUGACGCAAUAGCUUGGUCCAAGUUGGUGGCACUUCUGUAGGUAGUAUUGACCGCGCCACCAAUGCCAAUCCCGUGAAAGCCAGCCUGAAUGAAAGGCACAAGAGGAAACCAGAG
rnacentral:lncRNA from 1 species